AUGAAAUCUAAAGCGGUUUUUGUGCGGCCACUUAGUGAGUUUGUAUCACUGUGGUACACUUUUGGCAGAGGAACCAAACUCAUCGUUAACUUGGGUGUGUUGAGGCCCACCCUGACUGUCCUCCCUCCUUCCAAAGAGGAGGAGAAGAAAAGCAGUGCCACUCUGGUGUGUCUGGCCACUGGAGGGUUCCCCUCAGGUUGGAAGCUGGGCUGGAAGGUGGGGGGCUGUAGCCCAUCUUCAGGGCUGUCAAACAGCCUGGAGGUCUUGGGGACAGAUGGUCGUUACAGCUGGAGCAGCACCCUGAGCCUCUCUGCAGACCAGUGGAGGAAGGCGGGCUCAGUUAGCUGUGAGGCCAGUCUGAGUGGACAGAGCCCCGUCACUCAAAUCCUGGACCCUGACCACUGCUCAGAGUAG